CGUACUAUCAUGGAUGUACAUCCGCUUAAGUCUACGUAAAGAUAUAGAUAAUUUGAAUCACAUUGGUUUGUGGAAACAUUUAAAUUUGUUUAUUGUCUAUGCAGCGAUAAAAUUUACGAACAGCAGUUAAUAAGAAAAGCUGGCUAGUGUUGAUCAUCAACCUAUUUUAGCUUACUUUGUUAUUUUCCAUAGAUUUAUUAGCAUCUGGUACGCUGGCAGUGCUUUGUGUUUCGUUUGUUUUGCGUAAUUAUUGAUAGCAGGCAACAUUGCAGUUUUCAACUAAAAUAGUUUCUCGAUUCUCAGCUAUUGAUUGUGAACUAAAUAAUUUUGGAAAAAAUUGAAAUGCAACAUAAGUUUUUUUUUUUUUUGAAGAUACGAAGGCAUAUCCAAAAGGGUAGCUGCAGCCGGUUCUUUGCCGAAACCCCCAACGGUCAAAAAUUCCACAUGACUUGAAGCAUCUGCUGUUCUGGCAAAUAAACAAACGGCUAGUUUAGGGUCGACUUUUUGAGGAUUGUUACGCCAAAAUGCAGACCCACUUGGGGGCUGACUGACAAUUUCAAUGCCGGCAAUCUACUCAGCUCUAUUUUUAAUAAUGUUAGCUUAUAAACGUAAUAUGAUGCAAGUGUACAUGCAUAAAUGUAAUUUUCCUAAUCUUAUAGACAAUACUGAUAAUGCUUUCAACUCGUAAACUUAUGGCAUCAUUUGUACAAUACAAACAUAGGAAAAUCAUUAGUUCAGCUAACAAUAGGAAGUAUCUAGAUGUGAAAAUUGGGUGGGUAAACGGCAACGAAAAACGAGCAAAAGUGGGCGUCGGAACUACGCAGUAAGCUCGAAUCGUUAGAAAAGCGUACAGACAUGACAAAGACGAGAUAAUGCUCAGCAGCAAAUCAAAGAGAGAACAUGGAAGAAAAUGGCAACAAGGGUAUAUAAACGGAUCAAUACGGACCCCAUGUCACGUAGAACCCUCUCCAAUAUCGAGAAUGUUCUAGAUGGUAGGGACAAGCGUAUAAAAGCGCGGCCGUUUUGGGAAAACUGUGCAGUUAUUGGUGAGUGCUCUUUUGCUGCGUAUGCUGUUAGUGUCUGAGUGCGCCACGUCAUCAAGCUAAGAGGAUGGGUGAGAGGUGUAUAGUUAGAAAAGCCAGCUGGCGACGCCAUAUCCUAGUCAGGUUUUGAUACAAUCGAAUUUCUAUUGCAUACAUUUACGUUUCUUUAAUAAUUAUUUGCAAAAGUCUGCUUAUAUUGCGUUCCGUUUGCAUCUGGCCAAUGCAAAUGGACGCCAUAUUUACUGUAGUUGCGAAUUCUUCUAGAAUCAUUAGCUACUAAAUUUGCAAAUGCUGUGUUACUCUCCGCAAAACGUACCAAGUUUCUGCAUUAAUUUCAGAGAAUUCCAACAUAUGCCGUUAUAAACAUCGUUCCUAUCCGUAAUCCAAAAUGGCGCCUUAAGAUAGGUAGGGUGCGGUCAUCUAGUCUACAGCGCAAGCGCUAUUGCGCUGCGCAAGACGAAAUCGAUAAUCACUACCGAAGCAGAAUUAAAAAUCCUAUAAUGGCGUAGAGGUUGACGGAAAUAAGUAUGGGUAUGAUUAAUAGUGACUUAAAUAUUUAAAACUUUAGAAAGAAGCCUAUUGCUUCGAUUAGGUCCUUAAAUAGGCCGAUGGCCGACCAUUCUAAGACAUUUUUCUAGAUUUUAUCAACGUUUCGAGCGAAGUCGAAGAAGUUAAUGCAGCGCGGGUUCAUAUUUACUCACUCCGGACUCAUUCCCCCUCUGCUGCCUCUUAAUAUAAAUUUUUUUCUUCAAUCGAUAUAUAAUAUGUGUUUAUAGAAUCUGUGAUGUCCUGGACAUAUAGAGAUCUGUUUAGCAUUAAAACAUACUCAACAUUGCCUACAAUUUAAUAACUAAUUUUAUAUUGAUCGACAUGAUACAAUAAGGUAUCGACUUUGAAAAUAUUCCUGAUAUUUUCGCAGAUAACCUUUGCAGAAUAAAAGUUAUUAAAUUGAAUACAAUUGGGCAUUGCCAUAUGCUUAAGCCACCGUGCUUACCUUUUAGCACGACAAUGCUAAUUCUGUAGCCCCCAUUUAUAUUUUAUCGAAAACAUGGCGUUUGUACAAACUAUGACAUCGUUCGUAAUAAAAACAUUUUUUUAACUAAAACCAACUCUUCGAAGUAUUAUUAAAAUAUACCAUUUUCCCACAAAAUGCAGUAACUACUGCAGACUGUGAUCGCUCUAGAGAAUCACUAAAGGUAAAACUAAUGGAAUUAAAAGUAGGUAUUAAAAUGCUACCCGACCCGACGUGAUCCAUUAAAUCUUCGAUAGGGGCGGGCCGUCAAGAAGUAAGUACAAAGUUAAAUUUUUUCUCACUAAGUUUAUAAUUGUGUGUUACUUUUCGAGCUAAUUGUUUGGCGGAAAGUUGACUAUUUAAAAGAUAUUUUAUUGCCCACAUUAUCUUCAGAUUUUUUGAAAAUACGAAUUUUUUAUACCGACGAGUAGGUACAGAAGCCGUAAUAUCCAUUGCGUGAUAUUACAUAUUUUAUAUUGAAAGUUGAGUGCUUUUCGUGCGUAAACAUAUCAUAAACAUGGGACAUAUUUACAAUACAAGCAAAUGAAACUUUAGAUUCACGAUUUUAAUAGGUGAAGAAAUAUUAUUUAUACUUUCAAGAAAACGAAAAAUGUCGCAUUGAGUUCCCUGUUUCGAGCUGCAGAUCCCGUUGCAUUUUGCCAUUUACAUACUGUACAAAUUUGGGUGCUGUACAAAAAUGAGUUUCUAUUAGUCUUUUACAUUACCACACGUCUCUACAAACCCCAAGCGCAUUUGCGGCAAUACAUGAAAAAUGUAGCGUUUAGACUAAGUAAUCGAUUGGGUUGUUGGGUAAACUACUUUGCGGCAUUCUGUUUAACACGAACUAACUCAAUAGCGAAUAAACUAAGUCGCAAAAUGAUCUAUAGAAAAUGAAAUCGACUUUAGGUAUUAACAUUCUUUUAGGUACAAUCUGAGAUAACCUGAUGCAAUAAUGCAACCAAUUUCCCCACUGUUUUUGCCUACCUGUUGAGUAUAUAAAUUUUCAUUUACAACUUUACUUCUUUCCAAAAGUACUGGACAACUGAAACGGCUUUAACCCUGCAAGCGGCAGAAUCAGCGGAGACAAAUACAUUAGGUAUUACCCGAGUAAAACUUCGAUAUACGCACUACAAUACCCAUAAAAAUAUACGCCGCGGCCAUAAACAUCCAUUCAGAACCGAUUAGGUACGCCGAAAUAACAACUGCAAAUAAUACGUCUUGAUAAAUAGGGUAUUGUUAGAAAUAUAAACGAUCAGCAAUCAAAGAUUUUCUUACAAAUGCAAACAUGGUCAAUCGUUAAAGUUGAGUAUAACAUGAAGAGCGCAAAUGGCAAGUCACAACCUAUUUAUGAUAGUUUUAAACUUACCUGGGCAUCCUUUACCUUUUGCAAGUGAGUCAAGAAUUCUCGAAUUUUCGAGUCCUCGGCUGCCAGAUUUGAAACAUUUCGUCUUGGACAUUCUGCAAAUUUGAAUAAAAUCACUAGUCUUUUAUUUAGCAAGCAUUCAUGAGAAUAUUCGGAAUGAAAUGCCAGUCCUUUAAAAUAAAGUAAAGCGAUUUUAAAAAUCGAGCCGUAUUAACAAUUUUUGUCUCAAAUAGUUCAAUUUGCCACAACUACCAGUUGUGAAGUGGCACAUGCAUCUGAAGUGCCGGCUUUGAAGUAAGACCAUCCUACUGUUUUUACCAUUACAAUUAGCUCGAACUGAGCGAUCAAUCUCUGACUUAUUUUAGGUCAAAAGUGUUUUAUCCUAUUACCUAAUCAAAGUUUUGCGCCCAGUCUCCAUCGAAUACGGCACUUUAAAUGUUUAUCAAAUUUACGAUGUUUAAUUUAUAAAACAUACAAAAAGCAUCUGUUUAAUUAAUUACGGCCUCCCUUUUUAAGUCAGCUACCAUCUUAACCGAUAUUAUCGGCAUAAAUACAUUUUCAGGAUUGAAGAAUACAAGGCACGAAUUGACACAGUUUUCCAUACGUUCAUUUGCGGUUUCUUUGUAUGCAAUUUCCAGCUCUAGCCAAGAUAAUGUGUAAUAUCUGUUGCGUACGAAUUUAUUGCAUACAGAGCCAUCCAAAAAAUUAAGAGCACUUUAGCAAUUGGCCAACGAAGUAACAAUUGGGCAUACGGUCUUAAGGGAUUCUGAUUGUAGAUUGAAUUUUACGCUAGUGGACAGUUUUCUGAUUUGUUGUUAUUUUUUUGUUUCGCUCUGUAUUAACGUACGAGUAAACUCGUGUCUAUUGGUGGCUUUGAGUACCGGACGUUAAGUAUAUGAUCUCGUUUUCUCCUAUUUUACUCUGGCUUUUCCUACUUUGUCUCGUAUAAAUCUUUAUUUCGUACGACUUUAAGCAUCUUUACUUGUUACUGUAACAAAGAUAGUUGCAAUUUGUCAUUUUUGCUGAAAAAUAUUGCUACUCGCCUUCCUGUCUUACUUUAAUAAGGUUAUAUGCAUUGCCCUGUAUAUCUAGACUUAACAAUAAUUAACUUUUCGCCAUGGAAUUGCUACAUUUACUAAUUUAAUAUUUGUGCAGACGCAAUAUUUAGGCUAACGUAAAAUUUAGGCGAUUUUUAUAGUUUUAAAUAUGUAAAAUAAUUACAUAAUCCGUCUCAAGUAUACAUAGAUAGUGAUUUCAAACAUUUUUUAUUGGCUAUUUUGCCUCGAAAAUAUUUGUCUUUUUAAUUCACCACCUAGAAGGUAUCUUUCCACAUACUUAGGCUUAAGCUGUCAUAAAAUUGCAAUUAGUAAAAAGAGUAUUUAGAAAAGUUACCGUUUAGAGUUAAGUUUCGACAGCAAAUUUACUGUCUUGAUUCAGAAGGUAUUUGAAAAGGAAUAUAUUAGUAAAUUGUUAAACAAUAAAUAAUUUAAUACAAAUCUGUAAUAAUUUGCUCUAGAAAUAUUUCGAUAUUUUUAAUCUUGUUACAUGUUUGUUCUGUCAUCUACUGUUUAGCAAUUUACUAAUACACACUUGUUUAAAUAUAUUUCGAUAAAUAUUUCAGAAUUGCUAUCGAAACGUCAACUUUUCUAAAUUAAUUUCUAUACUAACUAGUAAAUACCCAACGAAAAGGUUUUGAAAAAAUGUAUACUUGCCGUACUGUUUGGUUUUUCUACAAAUAACUGCUUUAAAUUUAGCUGCAACUAAUUUCAAUUUUGUCCGUAAAAUAAAACUACUACUAAGUUUGCCAACUUUCAUUUAUCUCUAUCUUAACAUGUUACAACCCGUGUUUAAUUAUUUUAGGAGACUUGGGUUUAACAAUCAAUUAGGCACAAAAACAAUGUUCACGUCCUUGGGGUCUUAAAUAGCAGUCAUUCUAUCGAAACAGUUUUCAGUUUACUACUAUAAUUGUGGAGACAUAAAUUGUCGGAUACACAUACAUUGCCUAGAAUUUCCAACAUGUAAAAUUACUUCGGUAAUUUUACAUAAUAUUAUAUUUCGUUCGGGCUGACACACUCAUUUUUCCACAUAUUCACCUAUGUAUGAGCUUUUAGAAAAAAAAACUGGCGUUUUUAAUGAAGUCCUGCAGAUUUAGAUAAUUAUUUCUAAGUUCUUCAUCGUUAAUGUGCAUUGACUUGGGCUGUUAAUGUAACUUCUAUUAUUUGUUCUCUUUGAUUGAUUUUCAUUAUACCGCUAACAUAAACCACUCGGCUUAUUUGGAUAUGUUGAAUGUGUUUUGAACUUCUUUUUAACUAUAACUGGUUGUCUGUUGUUCUGUCUAAUUUUUUAUAACUUUGAAUUGCAAUUACGCAAAUGCAUUCUUCACCCAUUUUUUACAUUUUACGUACUCAUUAUUCGUGUGUAAUUAUGCUUAUAUAUUUGUUAUAUCCAUGUCGAACUAAAUAUGCUUUGUAAAGUUUUAUUCCAAUUUUAUAUGGAGUUGAAAAUUAACACUACGUAUAUUGAAUUUUUAGCUCAGCAGAAAACUGGCAUUGUUUUAAUAUCACGUCGUCAUCACUUUACAUAUGCACGUUUUAAUUAAAUAUCUUUGAUAAGCAGACGUUAUUAGACUAUUUUAAUGUAAUUAUUACCUUAUAUGUGCACAUACAAUAAUUAUCAUCGCCAUUAUUCUAAAGGUUUAUUUUUACUAACAAUAUUUUGAAUAUGAAAUCUAUGUAUUAUUUUUAUGAAUUCUUAUCGCUAGUUUAAAAGUUUACUUACACACUCGCUAUCUUUAACUUGAGUUUUGCAUAAAAUAAUAAUGAUAUAUUUAAUUAUUAUGAUUAUCAUUUUAUAGUAAGCAGGGAUCUCACUAGGAGGUUUUAGUUUACUUCGUAAUAUAUUUUAAAAGAAUGUUUCUAAAAAUAUAGUUUUUAACUCCCUUAAUUUGGGGUACUAUGGUUAAUAUCUUCAAGCAUAGAAGAAAGGCAGUUGUUAUUUGUUCAAUUUAAUUAAAUUUAUUUAGAAUAUGAGAAGUAAAAAUCCGAGUAAAACUUACAUAAAUUAGUGGUGAGAGAUAUUCCUUUCCCUCUUAUAGAUUUAUAUAAUUUUGCGUAAAUCAUUCUUGAUUUCUUUAAAAUGGUGAGUUUUUGACCCAAUAGUUAAAGAUAAAUAAAUUUAAAUUUGAAUAGCAAACUAAGAAACAUUAAGAACAAGAUAUAAUGAAGCAACAGAAGUGCUAUUAUAGAACAAAUAAAAUUUGUGAUUUUCUCAAGCUUAUUUUGUACAUUUCCUUCAAUUCUUGCAUUAGCAGAGUAAAUAAGGACCGACUAAGAGACAGUAAGUAAGACUGCUUGAUUUCUUGUGUAAUUAAAAUAAUUUCGUAUUUAAGCAACCAAUCAUUUUGAUUCACACACUAAAGAAGUAUUGUUUAGCUUUUUUAUUUAAAUUUAAACAUUAGGAAAAUUAGGCGUUUGUGCUGUGUAUUUUAUUGAAAAAUAUAGAAGUUACUAACAUUUAAGCAAAUAUCCAAACAAGUUAGAUUUAAGCAUAAGCUGAAAUGCAGGUAUUCGUUUAUCAUCUUGGCGCUUCUGAUCUGGCUCGCAACAUUUGUUAACCAGGUUCCAUUUGGCGAUUCUUUGCGACUUGGUCACGAGCUGUGAGUCGGCAACACAAAUGUAGCAUUUAAGAACUAACUGCAUUAAUAUUAAUGCCUUUUCGCAAUGGAUCGCUCUACAAGGUGAAACAAUGUUUCGGGGACUAGAUGAAAAUGCCGACCGACUGAGAACUACAUUUUAAUGUUGUGUUCGAUACUGGUAAAUAUUUCUGCUUUCUAGUGUAUGCAUAAGUAGAUGUGUUCAAACUCAAUUAAUCACUAAUUAAUUUCAUGAGUAUUUACAUAAAGCACCACAAAUCACUUUGCAUGUUUUUAAAGUACACAUUUUAUGAAAUGGUGUUGGCAAGAACAAGAUAGUUUAGGCUGUAUUCGGCUGGCAAAGAUGCAGACAGGUUGUUACUAGAAGAUCAGAUUUUGACAUUGGUAUCUCGAUUAUAUUGCAUUUACCUCCCUAGGCCUUGCUGUAUAAUAAUAAAUGUCGCGGUGUUAGAUGUUUAUAAUCCGAUUGCUGUGUCAAUUUCUAGAUGUUUUGGUUAACCCUAGUUUAUUGAUUCGGAAAAAAAGGAUCUCAAAGCAGAGGCCCAUUUUUUCCAAAAUGUACAUUCCGGACAUGCAUUACCAGCAAUCAAAUCACUACUAUUGAUUAGUACUUUUUUACGACUGAAAGUAAAUUAAUUCCUUCAAUAGCUUUACCAAAAUAAUAAAAGCUAAUAUUUUGUCUCAUUAGUGUUCGAUUAUGUAUAUUUGCUUAAAUAUUUUGUCCACUUAAGUCGAUCGUGUACAUUUUCUAAUAGUUCCUAAUCAAAUAAAUUUCACAUUUAGUUAAUUGAUAUAGUAAUGUUUUUAAUAUCGCACUUCACUCUAUUGUUAUAUGUAUGUAAAGCGUUGAAGCUCGUGGAUUGCUAUUUGCCAGGUAUCAACUAAACAAUUCCUAGUUUUAUAUCUGUAACAAUCUAAACAAAAAUAUUUAAAAUUUGAUCGUUUUAGCUUAACUUCCCAGAUGUGAAAAAAACACUUCAAAUGUAUUUGCUUUUCUGAAAAAAUAGAUUUUUGGAAAUAUGUAAGUAGACUGUUCCAAGAGUUGAUACUUCUUGAGAUUGGUAAAAUUUGAGAUACCGAGUUAUGACACCAUAUCCGAACAAUCACGUUCUACUCUCACGUUUUGGCAAUCUUAAAGAAUAUGGUAAAUUUCAAUACAUGAGCAUCCGCAAUUGCUUAAUGCAGUUUACUAUAAUGUAUCUGUAUGAUGGUUAGUUGCGCUAUUAAUUUUCCGCUAUCAUUUAACUUAUUUGUAAGAUUUCACCUUCGAACAAAGACGAACACUUGCUUUGAAAUGCCGCUUGUAUUUAAAGUAUUACUAAUUGUUUACUGAAAACGUUUGUAUUUUUUAUUUUCAUGUCUGUCUAUUUUCACAACUUCACGCUGAAUGUAAGCGGAAUAAUUGCUAAUAAAAACCGUUAGAAAUAAAUUAAAAUUUAAGAAAAUUAAAUAGUCUAAAUGUUAAUGAAGAAGAUUUAAAUUUAAUAUUAAAUAUUUCUUGAUAAAACUAAUCUCCUUUAAAUAGGAUACGUGUUUGUUAAAUAAUAACGUUGAGUGAUUUGUUUUAGCCAUCUAAAAAAUGACAAAAUCUCAACUAAACUGAACAUAAAUCGGUUGAAUUUGUUGCAGGUCUUCCCCCUUUUUUAUCUUUUUAACUUUUUCAUUUCAAUGUUCAAAUAUUGAAAUAAUACGAACACAACAGUCUAAGUUAUCAUAAUGUGCUUAUUUUCCGACAAUAUGCGGUCAAAUGAUUAUUUUUAUUAUUAUUCUCCUGGGAUUAUGAGAAAAAAUCACAAAAAAGAAGAUUGACCCAUUAUGAAAUUGCUUUCAACUAUAAUAGGAUCAAGAAUUCGAGAUUGCAAGAUUUUCAAAUUACCUCCGAGUAUUUUUAGGUUAAUAUUUUUAAUAACGUAUUAAAGUAAGGGUGGGCGAUAAGAGCCUUUAUUUAAAUCUGAUUCUAUUAAUAAUUGCAGUUACAUAAUUAUACAGAAAUGGUUAUUUUUAAAGAAAAUGUAAUGUAAUUUAAUCUCUCCAGUGUAAUUUUCCAUUGGAUCAAUCAAUAAUUUAUUAGCUGUUGUCUACAAUGGCACAGUAAUUACCUGCAUGUUUUAGCCAAACGUAUUUGUGUUAUUUAUUGCAAAUUAUAAUGUAGCUAGCCAUUAACGUUCAAUCAAUCAACAUUUGUCUUGAUGUCGAAUGUCUUUAAAUUACUAAAAAUAACUUUUAUUAAUUAUAUGAAUUGUUUGCCAUUACUCCAUAUAGGUAGUUAGUUAUCUUUUUUACUUCCUUGAAUUGUUCCAUAAAUAUUACUUGUAUAUUCGUUUUUCAAACUGAACUUCAGAUUUCUAUCUUCACCCAGAAGAUUUUUCGCAGAUUUACCUUAUAUUCCAGUAACUUUCGUAACUCAAGCAUUUUGCUAUUUAUUUUAUAUAUACAUUUUUCCGGUAGCUUUGCAGAUACAGAUCUUCACUAUCAACAUAAUGUAUGUAACAUUUAAUGACUGACUCAUUUAAAAAUGUUAGUAAAACGUGGAUUUAAAUACGUAGAAAAACCAAAAUUGUUUACGAAAUUGUCACCACUCUAAAAGUGGGUUUAUUCAUUUUCAGAAAUACUCCUACUAUUAUUUUAGUCUCUGUGACUCACGUUUUGGUUAUUUUUAACUGGUUUUCUUUUAGUUCAGGGUCUUAAUUCGUCCUUAAGUUUUCAACGAAGCCCUGGCCUCUAUAAUUUAUCGUUUUGACAUACAUAGAUUUUAGAUGUCGUCGGAAGAAAACAUUUCAGUUGCUUCACUGGAAACUAAAAUUUUAAAGACAUUUUCAUCUAAUACUAGCUGACUAUUGGGUCACUUGGAUAGUGUUUUUAUUUAAAUUGGAAACUAUAUAAUAAUUUCAAUAGGUGUUAUUAUACAGAUACUAUUGUGUUUUAUUUUUCAUGGCAGUCGGCAUUAGGAUUUAGCUAUGACUUGACUGCCAAUAUAAUAAAUUAUUUCUUAUGUAUUUAAAGUAAAUUAGUUCAUUUGCCCAUUUGAACUUAUCAACUGCAGUAAUAAUAAAAACAAGAACAAUAUUCUAUUAAAAGCGUGAUUUUUUGUGUCUUUUCUGCAACAGCUCAUUGGAUAGUACGUUCUUUCGAUGCAAGCCACUCAACUCUUCAAAUCAACCGAAUUACUGGUAUGACUUUUUUAUAAUGGCGUGAUACAGCUCGGUGCCCUUCUGAAUCAUUGUGUUUGAUGGAUUUUUUUACGAAAUCUGCUAGAGAUGGAUCAAGCCAUAGCUAUCUAUCUACACCACUAGUUCAUUCAGACCACAAGAAACAUUUUGCCAGCAAACCAGUAUCUUGAAAUCGGAACCACUCAGAUUGAACGAGAAUUUUUAAAUUGCAAUAAACCAACGUGUACAAAUCAACAUUUGUUUGUAAUAAAAAUGUCGGAAUUUUGUUUGUUUUACUAUCAAUUAUUUCCAAUUUCAUGUGAUUAAUAAGUGAAUGGUCGUUAUCAAAUGAAAUAAUGAUGCCUUGUACUUUAGAUAAAUACCUACAGGUUGAAUACCGAAAACUACCUAAAAAUAUUUGUUCCACUGACUCCCUGCAAAUAAACUAUAAAAUAAUUACGAAAACCGGAGACUAGUAAAAAUAUUAAAUAAAAUAAUAUAAAUACAUAUUGUGCAUGUAUAAUUGGUUACAAAAAUAGCCGCAAAUGACUGCAUGCAAUGUUGUUCAUUAUUUCCAAAGACUGCGGCUUCUAUUCAUAUAAUUAAAAAUAUAUGUCCUUUAAACGAGUUCAGAGAACUUUGUUGUAGUGAGAAAUCCAAAUACUGUUAAAAUCUUGUUUUGUUUUUGAAGUUUUUCAAGACAAUUGUAGAAAAUAGAAAUACUGCAAUUUCUAUUCCACCUAAGCGUUUUUGGAUAAAUAUAAAUGGUUUGGCGAUAAACUAAUCAAAAAAUUUCUAUCGUUACUUGUAUCCCGAUUAUAAACGACAAUUUUGAAUAUUAUGGCAAACUUGAUUUUCAACGACGUAAAUGUUGACUUAAUUUUUGCAUUAAGUUUUUAACAGUGAAGUAAUUAACAUAAGUAUAUUACCUUAAAUAAAACUUAUUAGAAUAAACGUUUUGCAAAGCAUCGCUUUUUAAGGGUAGUUUCAAAGUUAAAAUUCAGAACUUGAUAGCAGAUUUCGAGUUUGUUUUAUUGAAAAAUUUAGAGGUUGGGAAUACAACACAAUAUUAUAAAUAUCGUAUGUUAAAUAUUAAUUAGGUUUACAGUGAAACAAUGGCGUGAUAUCGUAAAUUAGGUUCAAAACAGUCGCAAUUAAAUGAAUUUGGAAGGAACACGAUGUUAAAAGUAUUAUUUCACUAGUUGGAAAUAGCUCACCCUGUUUUUGCUUUGCUCGUAGGUGGUAAAAGCAAGUAGAUUUCUUAACUUCAUGUAAAAAUGUAAAAGAACAAGGAAAAGUUCAGUCAUUUGCCAAGUUCAGCAUUAGAGCAUUGCGGGAUGAUUGUCAUAAUAUUUUUAUAUUCAUACUUUAUAGCUUUUUUAUAUUUAAUGUGGUCUGCCUUAAUAAUUUUGAAGUUAUUAUACAUUCUUGACUAAACGACUAAUCCGUUUUAAUUAGCUAUGGUAUUUAACUUCAAAUAUAUUUGUAUGCUUUAGGUGUUUCAGAAUUGUUUAAUUUAUUCGCUUGAUACAUUUCCAUUACUGCGUUUCCUCUUUACUAAUGGAUCUAGUAGUUUUUGAUGAAUUUUGGGAAUUUUAAAUUCGUAGAUUCGAACAACGAUUUUCUACACGCAUGAUUCAGCAAACAUAAAUAGUUUUUGAUGUUAGUUGAUGUGUUAAAAAUUAUUAAUUGUCGCUAAAGCAUAACAUAAAAAAUUGUUUUAUAUAUUUCUAGCACUCGCAUUUUAUCAGUAAGUGUGUAGUUAUUAUUCAUAACAUUUAAAUGUUGAAUAGAAAUAAUUUUUCGGCUUGCACAAACUUGCUAUUAAUACCCAUUUAAUUGGAGGAAGCUUUAAUUAUAUAUGAAUUAGGCGUUUAUGAUAACACUGAGUUGAUGGUUUAUUGAAAGUAAAAUGCACGAUGAUCUUUUGGUUUGCAUUUUGCUUUUAAAGACUUUGCACUAUUGAGCUUUUGUACUUUUUACUCAAAUUUGUCAUGGCAUGAUCUUAAAUUUUCAAUGUAUUCUAAUGUCAUUUUCUAAUUUAUUAUUAUCUAUGAAACUUGCUUUUAAAAUGGUCUUACUUGGGCGGUUGAAGGAUUUCUAGUCAAGUUCCAGAUAACAUUAGCGGCUCUAAUAGGUUUUAUUCAUGCAACUAUUAAUUUCCUAUAAUUCAACCUUAAAACGUUUUAACGUAAUAUUUGCAAAAGUUUUAAAUAAAAUGAUUAAUAAAGAAAAUUAAAGAAAAUCCUUGCCACUGCUUAUAUAAAUAUACAUUAUAUUAUAUAAAUAUAAUAUAAAUAUAUUGCUCAAAACAUGACUUUUGUAAAUUAUCUAAACAUUCAAUUUGCAGGCAGUGUUUAGAGGUUCAACAAAAUGAAUUUUGUUUGUAUGCUAUUGUAGAUCAAUUUAUUCAAAACCCUCACUCUAGAUUCUUAUAUACAUAUUUCUUUAACCAUCUAACCCAAACUAACUUUAAAUUGCAAUUUAUAAUUUUAAAUUUCGGAUUCAUAGAAAUCUCGUCGGUCGAUUUGGUUGCAGUUUGCAGUGUUUAGAAUUUUCAGCAAAAUAAUAAUCUUUGCAAUAUAUUGUAUUUAAAAUGUGUAUUUUUGUUGUUGAUAUUGGGGUAGAAACAUAUUUUCAUUCAUUAGCUCACAUUUAAAUUCCUGGAACAUAUGUAUGUGCAGUUAAUGCAUGGGUUUUACCGGAAAGUAAUUUUAUUCGGUUGUGAUAUGCGAUUAUUAUCUAAAAUCUGUAAAUAUAGACUUAUGAUUUUACAAAAGCUUUUCUACAUCAACUUUGCGCAUAUAAAGCCAAAUAAACUACUUUCAUAAUAAAGCUUGCUUAAACAUGAUCUAAUUAGAGUGGCUUGCUAGAUCACCAUAUUAAUUUGAAAUAUGUGUUUAUAUUUAGGAUUUUUUAUUGUGGAACUUCAGACGUAAACUAUUAACAAAUAGUAUUUUCGAGGAACAAGAACCAAUACAUUGAAUGUUCAAUUCUGCACAUAUCAGACGCAAAUAAAUUUAAGUCAAAUUUGGGCAAUAAAAAGAGUAUUAAGUAUUUGGUGUGUCAUUAUGUUGCUAGUUGUUUUUUUACUAUUUAAACAUAAACUUGUGAUACAAGUGUGAACACAAAUAAUUCAAUUCGAUAAAUUUAAUAAAAAUUACAAUAAGUGCUUCUUCGAUGAUAAUUUGCAUUUGGAGUUCUUAGAUUUGCAGCAGUUAAGGUUAUUUAAAUUCCAAGUGCCGAUAAUCGUACACGAUAUUGCGAAUGUUCAAUGUUUUGGUUCGAGUAUUCCACAAUUAAACUCAGCACCUUGAAAUAUUAUCAAUGUCAUCCAUUUUUUUUUUAAUUAAACACGCUUUUGAGAUAUUUAUUAAUUUUAAUAUGGGAACAUUUUCUAUUUCGUCCUCUUUGUGUGUAGGUUACUGUCCUGAUUUUGGGUGUUGUUUUCUUUAACAACUUUUGUGUUUGACAAUAUUAUCUCACUCGUAUUGAAUUGAAUGCAUUGAGCUAGUUUCUUUAAAUCCUUUUAAAUUAAUUAAAGCGUUGCUAAGACAGGAUUUUUUCUGUGGCUUAUUUGCGCCUGAAUGACCACUAAUUAGAUAAAAAUGAAAUUUUUCUGUAUAGCAUUUAUGUUAACCCUACGCUAUUCAAUGGGCUCUGCAUGCCACGGACAUAAAAUAUAAAUGUUUCUAUUUGCCUAAAAUUAUAGGUGUAUUAUAUUGUAAUAACUCAAAUAGGUUGAAGGUAUUAAAUUAUAACCACGAACAAUUAGCGUAAAAUGAACAGAAGAGAGUAUUUCAAAUCUGAAUGAAUUUAUAUUGUAUUAUACAGCGUAAUAAGCUGGAUAAUUGCGCUGAGAAAUAAGUAAUUGACUUUGAACAACGACUAAAAUCCCAUGUAUUAAAGCACAUAUACAUAACUUCUAUUAAAAAAGGUGGAAUAAGCUAUAGUAAUUAAUGUGUUAAAUUUACAUUAGACACAAGCAAUUAAAGUGAUGAAGACAUGAAAGUGAUGUAUGAGGUAUAACUAAAGCGUAUCAGCAAUAAAUAUGGCUUGAUAAAUAGCAAACCAACUAGAAUAUAAUUUUAAAAUUAUUUUCUGAGUGUUAUGAACUAUAUUGCACCUUCCAGAAAUAAUUAGACACUUUGAAAGUGUAUUCAUGCAGGUAAAUCACAUAUAAGCUAUAUGGUCAUAUGACACAAUAGAAAUAUACAUAAAAAUAAUAAAUAUGUCUGAACUUGACAACUCUGAAAAAACUCAAAAACGAAAAAUGUGCCAUAAUAUAUCUACAAAUAAAUUGAUGAAAAACUGUUACUGUUAAUGACAGUUAAAUUUUAGCAGAAAAUGAUGAAUAAAAGUUGAAAACAGAAAAAUAUAUGUAAACGUUAUGUUAUGCCAAAGCUUCAAAUAAAUACCCGACUUCGCACUAAACAAUUUAAAUACAUACUUGUAAAAAAUAAAUUGUAAUUCAAAGAAUUAUACAUACAUUGAUGUGGUAUGAAUAUAUUUAUAGACUUGAUAUUGCGAAAAAAGUACUAAAGUUAAUUAUUUAGCAAUUAUAUCUUAACAGUUGUUUCGCAGAGAUAAUAAGAAUGAAUCAAAAGAAAGCAAUAUUUUAUCAAGAUGAAUUUAAGCGAACGAUAAAACAGCACAGUUAUAUUUGUUGGAAUGUGAGGAUUAAUAAAAAGAUGGUUUGCCCCACUGUUCUAUGUUAAUUGGGCUUAAACUUUUUAGAAAAUUGUAUGAAACAUUACAAUUGACUGCCGAAAUAUUUAACAGCUUUUAACGCGGGUUUUAUAAACAGCGCGAAAUAAUCUGAAUAUUAAUUAAUGCAUUAAGAAAAGCGCGAGCGCAUAAGAGGAUAUAAUAAAAAUGAAUUUAAGAACAAAUUCUAAGGUAAAACUACAAAUAUAGUCCUUUAUAGUAAAAGAAAUGCAACUUAUGAGAAAAAUGAUUAAAAAAUUGUGUUGAAAAAUGUUGAGGUGUGAGCUUAAUAGAUAUUGGGCAAUUGCAUUUGGAAUUGAAAAGGUUUAUUAGACGACGAAAAUGUAUAGUGAAUCUAAAAAAAGCGAUUUAAGGUUUUAACUUUUUAAUAGGUUGUUAUACAGGUUUAAAAAUUAAGAAAAGGUGUAGAUUUGAGAGAAACAUCCAUGAUUCAGAAAUAAGAUUUUCCUGGUUAAGUUCACAUCUUAGGUAGUAAACCCAAUUAUUUACGCUGACAGAGCUCGGCACAUCCGAGAUUCAAAACAAUUUGUUCCGAAAAAUAUUUAUUUAAUUUAUUAAAAUUAUCAUUAAUCAAACAUGUACGAUCAGAAGUGCUGAUAAUAUAUUUAAAUGGAAAUUAAUGUAAGUAAAUCGGAGAGCAAGGAUGAAUCUGUAUCUGUAAAAUACACCCUUCCUAAAAAUGUCGAUAUUAAUAAGAGUUACUUGCAAGGACUGAUGUAAUCAAUUCAUCUGCGAAUUAGUAAAAAUGGCAAUGCAAUUACUUAAAAGACAAAUUGUAUUAUCAUAUUGGUCAAUAUAUUGGACCUUUGGGGAGGCUCUAGAAAAGCCAAUGCGAGCGUAUAAGUUACAAAAUUCCCGGAAUGAAGACAAGUGCGGGAAAGAAAAUAAAUAUACUUGAAAACAUUAUUUGGUAUGCCAAAUUCCGAAUUUUAUUAAGGAUAUGAAUUAUCCCGAAAAAUAUCUGAACUCCUUGAAAUAAAUGAAUGAAAUACACAUUUAAACGAUUUGGUUGUUGAGGUCAAUGGAAUUAGAAAUGAUUUUUUACACAAUACUUUGCGAUUAUAUUAAUCGCUAUUUUUAAUGAUUAAUGCCGAAUAAAGAUUUUCGAUUGAACGUUAUGGCAGCAGCUACAAGGUGACAUUACGAACAAUUUUAGUAGUUCUAAUUAUAUAUUUGCUUCAAUUGCUUUUGCUUUUGAAUAUCUCCAAACGGCAAGAAGAAUAUUUUGAAAAGUUUUGAAAAGAAAUCCGUCUUCAAUUGAAAUAUAAGUUAAUACCGCUGAAAGAAACUAUCAACACUGAAACAAUUAAAUAUUAUAUACAGCAAAUGCUUGGUCAAUUAAUUUACCUUGAGUGAUUUUACUUAGAAUAGCAAGAUAAUUGCGGCUGAACUUAUGGGUUAAAAUGGUCAAAUAUCAAGAAUCCUGCAGAUAUUCAAUCGGAAAUGCCAAUAUAUGCUAAGAUUAGUCUUAGAAAAGAAAUGGUAAUAUUUUAAUACAAGUGGCUUACAUUUUUUAUGCCAAAAAUGAACAUACAGCUAAUAUGUCAUGCAAUCUAUUUGUGAAAAAACAUGCAAAAUGGUAUCAAGUCCACGUUUCCAGAACUUAAACAUAUUUAUCUAAUAUUGCAAAUCAAACCCUGCAACAUUUUAUUUAUGAUGUGGUUUUAUGACUAAUUUUUCAAACGAAGAGUUACCUACUACGGCACAAUUUUUAAAACUUAAAUGUAAUUAAAUUAUAUGCAUUCAGUCUUUUCAACUGAGUAUAGACUUAUCACUUACCAUCCAUUGUUUCCGAAAAGGGAAUUUCUCAAUUUUCUAGUACUAAAUGUUUCACACAACACUUUUUCACAGUUUACUAGAACUUUAUUCGCAAUUGAAAUACCAAAUUUUAAAAUGAAUUUUAUAGUUUGAAACAGCAAUAGGCUAAUAACCCGGAACACCUUCUUUUCGCCGCUUUUCAGAAUCGCCUGGCCCUUAAAAAAUUAUAUGCGCACCAGAAGGUUUUACUCAAGAUGUGUACUUAAUAAAUAUUUCGUGCCUGAACAAUUGGAUACAAAUAUGCCCGUGUUUAUAGAUAUUAUAAACAGUUUGGAACAAAGAACAUUCAGAAUUCGCACAACGUUGCCGCAUAUUUUUUACUUAAACAAUAACAUUGUAGAAAUUAUGGUUGACAACUUCGGCAAAAGAAUAUAUAUAAUAGUUCACAUAAUUUCGCAUAUUUAGAAAAACAAACAUGUGUGAAGAAUUUGAAUCUUACAUUUGCAACGCUUUUGCUGGUUAAACGAACUUAAAGUUCAAAUUAACGAACUAAAUCAAAUUUAAUUAGAUUGCAAAUUUGUUAAAGGUCUAGUGAAAUAUUUAAUAUUGUCGAGUAAAAUCACUGUAAUAGUAAAUAGAAUCGUGUCAAGCAACUGGGUAAAAAUGUUUGAAAGUAAUAAACAUUGACAAAAUCAGGAAAUAAGAACGUGAAAGACAAGAACAAACGAGUUAGUAAUGUAGGGUCCCAAUUAAGGUAAUUUGCACGGUUGAUCGAGAGGAAUGUGGUAAAAACUAGACAAAAUAAUCUACGUCUUCGACUUACAAGUACUUAGCGGUCAACUGUAAAGUGAGUAAACGCAAAAACGCAUUUACAAAGUUGUACCAUAAAAAAACUAAACAAGAAACACUGAAACUGGAAAGUUCUAAAAAAUGGUUGGGUUCGUUCAGAAUUCUUUUACAGCUAAGAAUUGGUAUCUCAGAAUGAAUUGCUCAAAGUUACAAAGUAGUGGUUGUUUAUAUGACAACAAACAAAUCUCAUUUUAUCUCACUAAAGUGGUUGUAUUAAAGCGGGGUUAAAUUCUAAAGUGGUGGGUAAAAUGUUAUUAACUUAAAAUCUUUACUGCGGUUAUUAAGCAAUAAAAUAAGUAUCUUAAUAAUUAAAGAAUAAAGCACCGAAAACGGAAAUAUAUGAAAAUAAUAUGUAAACUAGUAAACAAAUAAACCUUAAAAAAGACUACUUACAAUUAAAAAUCACAGAUUUGCAAACGCUGAACCAAAUUUAUUUACAUUAAGCGCAGUAAUUUGGUUAAAAGGAUACAAAGGUAAAAAGCUGUACAAUAAAAGAAGCUUUUCUUGUUUUGAAAAGAAAUAUCAUUGAAUUAUCCAUCAUAGUAAUUUAGUUAAUUAAAAGUUUUUUCAUAAUAAUUUAGUUGUUAAACCAUCGAAAUGUUUUAAUAACAAAAUUAAAUGACAAAUACAAAUAAAAUAACAACUGCAGAAUAAAACAUGGGUGUGCAGAAGUUGAAGAAUCAGUAGUGGUGCGAGGAAAAACAUAAAAUAAAUCGGUAGAACAAUCACUGAAAAGGUGAUUUGGUCAAAAGUGUCCAAAAAUAAACACAGUUUUAUAGGUGCUUUUAAACAAAUGUAAAGUGAUAAAAGGGCAUGCAAGAAGAUUACCUUGAGGCGAAUUGUAAUUACAAAGUAUAAAACGUAUGAUCAAAAGGAAAAUAAACUCAUGAAAUAUGAUUUGGUCAAAAGAAUACAAAAAACGGGUCUGUAGGAAACAAUGGUUAGGUAUCUUGAAAAUACAAAUAUUAUAGAAACGGAAAAGAAUAAGAGGAAAUAAAAAAAGUUGGGUAAAUAAUGUACAGUUUUAAAAAAGUUUACUUAUAUACGGAUUUCUAGCUGUUCGUCAAUAGUGAAGCCAAAUUAUAAAAUGUGUAAAACAGGAAAUACAAAGACUGUUUGUCUAAAAAUAUGCAAAAAUAUAGACGGUUUAGUAGGAGAUAGUGGUUUUUUUGAACAGAAAUGUGGUUAAAUAAAAAAGCGAACGUGAAUAAACUAAUAAUGGUUGCAAAAAAGUAAAGUGAUAAAGAACGUCUACUUAACUAGGGGUUUGCAGAUGUAUAUCGAUUACCUUGAAGCGAAUUGUAAUGAGAAAGUGUAAAACUCAAACUAAAAAGGGAAAACAAGCACUGAAAAUAUGAUUUGAUCAAAAUAAUAACAAAAUUAUAACGGUUUUAUAGGGAACAGUAGUUAUCUUCAAAAGAAAUAUAAUUAGAAAGGAGUUAGGAAAAUAAUUAAAAUGUAAUUAUUAGUAAAUGCACUUUCAAAGUGGUUGAUUAAAAAUGUAACCAAGAAGAGUAAUAACAGGGUUUUCCAGUAAUGAAAUUGUUGAAGCGAAGUGCCAUUUACAAAGUGAUUAACUGAUCUGAUUAAGUAAUCUGAAAUAUUAUUACAUAAUUCUGCGGAAAGAGAAAAUUAGUAAAAAAAGUAUAUUUAAAUAAAUACACGUUUAGGGAGAGAAAACGGUUAUCUAUUCACGAAUCAGAAUACCAAGUGGUUAACAAUUACAGGAGAUUUAUGGGAAAAAUUAAAAUGAAAAGGUAAAACAACAAAUUAAUUUGGUUGAGAGAGUUGAUAGCAAAGUAUAUGCGCUUUAUACUUUUUAAGGUUAUUUUGAAGAUGGAUAACAACUAAAGUUAAAUUAUAUAAAAACAUUUGUGAUGCGAAAUUAGUAAAGAAGUUAUACUUAAAUAUGUAAGGGUUAGUAGACGUAGAAUGCACAUAUUAACGUUAAAUUAAAUUAAUGUGGUCGCGUAAACAAUUUAAAGUUAACGUAUAGACUAGUGCUUCUGAAGGAUGAAAACAAUCUACUGAAAUCAAUAACGACUUUCAGCAAUAAAAGGGUUUUUUGAAGUCUAUUAGAACUACGAAGUAAUUGGGAAAAUCGGAAAAAAUCUUAAAAAAUUUAUAUCGAUUUCACAGAAAUAAAAUGGUUAUAUUGAACUAGCAAAGUGGUUGCGCAUCUUAAAACGAGUAAAAUGAAACGAACGCUCCACACUCAAUUUGGCCAAAAGUGUACAAAAAUAAAAACGGCUUUACGAUUACACAAAAACUAAUUACAAAGUAAGAAAUUAAAACAUUAAAAAUUAAGGAAAUGAUGAAAAGACAAAAUAGCAAAAAAUAUUUACGUAAAUCUAUAACGGUAGGCAAUAAUAAAAUGGUUACCUUGAUGUUAAAUACAGUUAUAAAAUGCUUAGCUAAGAAAUUAAAAUAAAAUAAAAUGGAUAUCGACAAGUAGUCGUAUAUUAAAAUUAAACAAUCCACACCUUGAGAAAAAUGGGAAUGCGAAGUAGCGUAUCCAAAAAAAUCAACUGAAAAUGUAGAAUGAUUCCAUUAAAACGAAAUAUACUUACAAACUGGUUAGGUGGAAAAUUAAAGCGAACGGCAACGGUUACAUAAACCUUGAAAAUAAAUGUGGUUAAAUAAAACGGCCAAAGGAUAAUUUAGCUUAAAUAAGGUAACAGAUGCGGAAGAAAAUGUAAAGUGGUAAAGAAGGUGUACUAGGUAAAUACAGAGUUGUAGAUUUAAAUUAUUAAGUGCUAUUGAAGAUUGGUUUGUUGAUUAAAUUAAACAUAACACACUGUCUGUGGUCAAAAGUACGGCAAAAUAUGAACGGUUUAUCGGAGCAAAACUUCCCGUGAAAAAAAAUCUGCUUAAAUAAAAAGUGAACUUAUUGUCGAAUGAUCAAUGGAAAGGUAAAAAGAAAAAGUUGUUAAAGAAGGUGGAAUUAAAUACGGCCUCUCGUAAGCGUUAAAUGGUUACGUUAAACCGAAACGCACUUUCAAAGUAAUUGAGUAAAAGACGAAACUGAGAAAAAUAACAAACCCUGAAAAUACAAUUUGAUGAAAGGAUAAAAAUGAUUUAGCUUCUAAAUGGCUACGUUAAACAGAGUAUUUACUAGAAAGAGCGUAGGUAAACAAUUCGAAAUUAAAUUUUGUAACGGAUGAUGUGGUAAAUAGAUUACAGAACGUUUGGGUAACUACGACGAUUUUACAGGAAUAAAAUGGUAAUAUUUUUUCAAACUAUAAGAGAAACGCGGAGAACGUAAAUUGAAGCGGAAAUAAAAUGGUUAUCUAGAGGUAAAAUACCAUCACCAACUUGAAACGAAAUACUCUGACAAAUGGUUGGAAGAAAAACUUGUUAUGUAGUUUUAUCAUAAUUACUUUGAAACGAAAUAUAAUUACGAACUAUGUAUAACUAAAAAGGUAAAAUAUACACUGUAUAUAUACUGUGAUAUAAGUAUAUGAAAAUAAAAACGGUUUUGUAGCUUACAAAUUGAUUAUGACAAUUAUAUUCGAAAUAAAUUUGACUGGAAAGCGGUUGGGUAACAGUUUCGAGGUAAAUUAACGAAUGCUGAGAUUCUAUGCUGGUAAUGAUCUAUGUUUAAAUAGUGAAAAGGUUUGCAGGAACAAAACGAAUAUAUGACAGCAAAGUGGUUGGGUGACGAAAUAAAAAAAUUAUGAGAAAGCAAAGUAAGGAAAUAGCGGCUGCAGAAAUAAAAAUGGUUUACGGCAAACGCAAAGUAGUUCGAGAAAAGAUCUAAACUUAAACUGAGUGAUGCAAUUAGAAAGUGGUGCGGAGUAAAAUGAAAAAGUAAAGCAAGCACUAAAACUAGUUUUUUAAAAUAUACAACAAUAAAAACGGUUUUGAAACAAACAAGGGUUAUUCUCAUAAGAGCCUUAAGUUAAAAAUGGUUGGGUAAACGAGAUAUAUUUAAUUUACGUUGUUAACGAAUGUUGAAGGUAAACUGGUAAUGAAGGGAUGUUUAAAUGCUAAGCGGUAGCAGACGUAAUAUGGUUAUAUUCAAGAGAAGUCAAAUUUCGGAGUGUUUGGUUGAAAAAUAGAGACUAAAAAAUUAAUGCAGACACCAAUGCCAACACGAAAUUAGUAAUAAGUAGGCAGAAACGAAACGUGGUUUUGUAGCCACGUUGAAAAAAAUGUGCGGAAAUAAAGUAGGUAAAUGACAAAACGUUAUUGGAAAUAAAUUAACAAACACCGAGGAAAUGGUAAAGCGGUAGUGAAGUAGUACCUUGAACCGAAAUGCAAUUACAAAGUGGUUCGCUGAAAAACUUAACUAAGCAGGUAAAACAAAGACUGACAUGAUAAAUUGGUCAAAAGUAUCCAUAAAUGAACGGUUUUAUCGCAAAUAUUGAGUAGCUUGAAAAUAAAUAUGGUUCAACAACAAGUUGUUGAGUAAAAAAUAAACUGAAGAUAAUCUAAAAAUGGUAAAAAGGUGUAAAAAAGUGAUGAAGAGGGUUUAAUUAAAUAGUGGCUUUUAGCUGUAAAAUGGUUUUCUUGAAGCGAAAUUUUAUAUUCGAUUGGUUCGGCGAUAAACUAAACGAAAACAGACAAACAAACUUGGCAAAUAUAAUUUGGUGGAAAGUGUAUAAGAACAGAAUCAGUCUUACAGCAUACGAUAACAGCACGUGAUAACUUGAAAAGAAAUCUAAUUAGGACGAUGUUGCAUAUAAAACUGAAACUUGAAUUACAUAAAAAAUUGCGGAAAGCUAAUUUGGUAAAGAUGAUCUACUUAAAUAAUAUGCGUUUGUAGGAAUGAUAUGGAAAUCUUAAAGAGAAAUUGUUUACUCAUCAUAAAAUGAGUUUGCACCGAUGAAAUAGUUACUCCGAUAAAAUAUGCAAUUGCAAAGUGGUUGAAAAAACAUAAUACUGAAAUAAUAUUACAAUGCCAAAAGGGCGGUAAACUCAUGAUCAAAAAGGUCCACUUAAAUAAACACUGGUAUGCUGAGAUAAAAUAUUUUCCUUGAAAGCGAAGUCAUACACUAUUGUUAGCGGAAAAUAGUAAAAAUAGGAAAUAUAUACGGCAAUAGCGUGAUUAAUUCCAAACAAAAUGUGGGUAAAUAGCGGUUGCGUGCAUAUUUCAACUAAAUACCUUAAAAACACUACAAUGAGAUUUGCUUAAAGGUAUACAAAAAAGUAACGGCUUUUUGGUAGACAAUUGUAAUAUUGAAAAGGAUUAUAUACAAAUAUAAUUGUAAAGUAAUUGGGUAAACCUUUGAAGGCAAAUGCAACGAAAUAAAGGUUGGGUCAAGAAGUUGAACUUGUGUGAAGUGAUAUAAUAAUGAAAGCUAAUAUAUAAAUAAUUAGCCUAUCUACUUAUCUGCGGUUUAAAUUAAUAAUUUCGUUACCCUGAAACCUGACAUUACAAAAUGGUUCGGUAAAUAAAUUACAAUCAAAUUGUAAAACAAACAAUAAAAAGGUAAUUCGGUGAAACGCAGACAAAAAAUGCAAAGCUUUUAAUAGCAAACACUGCAUAUCUCGGGAAGAAAAGUAAUUUGAAAUAGGUUCGGUUAUCAUUUAAAGUUAAAUUAUAUUUAUCUUGAAAGGUCCAUCGGUCAAGACCACUAGUAAAUAAAAAUACAGAAAUGAAAUGGUUACCUUGAGGCAAAAUUCGAUUGUUAUGUGCUCGACUGAGAGUUUAAAGUUUAGUUACAUUUAAUACGGUUUUACUGAAAGAAUAUGCUUAAAAAGUUUUAAAACAAGUAUCUAUUGCAGAUCGGUUAGGAGAAAAAUAUAAACACCUAAAGUGUAAGACGGUUUUGCAGCAAAAACACGGUUACUUUGAAAUAAAAUAAAAUAACCAAGUGGUCAGUCGAAGAAACUUAACUAAAAGAGUAAAACAAACCUUGCGAACGUAAUGCAGUUAAAAGUAUAGAAAACUGAAAAUGGUGGCGAAGCAGACAAAGUGGUAGGGUGAGGAAUUUAAAGGUGCAUUGUUUAAGAAAUGCCGAACGGAAGAAAUAGUGAAAAAGUCCAUUUAUAUAAAAUAAAACUAAUAGAUAAUAAAAAUGAUAAUUUGGUCAAAAUUAAAAAAGAAAUGUUUUGGUGGGAACAAUAUUUGCCUCGAAAAAAAUAAUAUUACAAAUCGUGGGCAUAAAAAAUUGGAAAAAAUGGUUUACUGAAAGAAAUUUUAUCGAUUUUACGAUUUAUAGAAACUACGUUGUUUGUUUUUAGUUUGCUACAAAUAAGUUUGCAGCAACUUAUAAGAAUAGAUCGGUUAUCGGUUUUAUAGUAAGUAAUAUAUGUGUUGAAAUCAAUUUUAUAAAAAACAUACAGAAAUAAAAACGGAUUUGUAACAAAACACUAGGGUAACUUAAAAAUUGAUGAAGUUGAAAAAAUAUCGAACAGGAAUUGUUAAUUUAUAUAAUCUAAUAAAUAUAGAAGAGAAGGUAAAGUGGUAAACACGUGUUACUCCAAGACGAGCUUAGAUGUAAAAUUAUGAUGUUCGAGAGCAUUGACAAAAAAGUGAUUUAAACACUAAAAAGGUUGUCGUUACAUAGCAGGUAUCGGCUGAUAUAAAUAAAUAAACUUUUUAUAGCAGUAGUUGGAUAGUUGCGCUUCGUAAUGUAUAAAAUACUAAAUACUUAUAAUCAGCUCUCAAUCUUUCUCUACUAAUUUCACAGGUUUAUGUUAUUUGCAGAUGCUCAGAUACAAAAUAGAAGAAGUGAUAACGAACAAAACCGUUUUUCUUGAAAGCUACGCACCGAUUUAACAAGAUUUUAAGUUGGUUAUAAACAACAACCAAGUGCUAAAGGCUGAAAAUAAUAACACAUUUAAAGAAAAAACUCUGUUAAAUGGAACAUUUGCAGUGAUAUAAAAUCAUUUCAAAAUUAAUAAAGUUUAGAUUAAGUAAAGUAAAGGUUAGCGCAAAAUUUUAGUAUAACGUGAAAUGGGACCAACGUCUAAAUUGGUAAACCUGGAGUGCCUUUGGUAAACAUGAAGCAAUAAUUUCGCAUACCCGAUUUGCACAUCUAUCUAAGAAUAAGAAAAAAUAAUUUCUGUGUUUUUUGGAGCUUUAGAGAUUAACAGAUGCCUUAAUAAGAACAAUUAGAUUUAAAUGAAUGGAACAGUCCCAUAAAUGAGCUCGAUGAAUAAAAUGCCGAAAUGUGAGAAGAGGUACUUGGACGACUCACUAAAUAAACAGAACGAGUGAUAAAGGCAUAGGAAACGUUAUUAAUUUGGAGAUUUUACGAGUUACGAGUUUACCCAGAAGAUACGGUCUAUUAAGCCCGCUCCACAUACGCGUCGCGAAAACGUGUGAAUGUAAGGUUCCGCGUUCCUAUUUUGCGUCGUGCAAGAUGAUUUGAUUUGCAUUUGAUGAUCAAUUGUGCAAGAUAUACGAGAAACAAACACCGUGGAAAAAAGCACAGUUUGCGUGGAAGGCAAAGCAAAUAUCAAAACAUAAGCUUUAGGAUGGUAUAAUUUUAACCGGUAACUUAUCACAUAAGUUCAGCUUUAUAAAACCAGCAUUUUUUGGUAGUGGUAUGAAAAGUGUAUUUUCUUGUUGGGUUAGUGUCAUGCGUAUUUAAAGAAAACUGUUAGGGUAAAAAAAUUAUAUUGUAGACAAGAAGAAAAAUGUUAGAAAGGUAUGUGGCACUGUGGUGGAAGUUUGUAGAAAAAGAAUUCAUCGUAUAAAAUGGAGAACUAGACGUACAACAGUGAGAAACAGUAGUGUGAACCUUACAAUGAAAGGUAGAAAGGCGGAUAAUAAUUUUUGGUAUGCUCGUACAAGGUGAUAAAGGAUGGUAAUUUUGAAAAGUCAACUUUUAAAAUGUAUGAACUGGAAGUGUAGGUUUGAGUGCGCUAAUACAGGUCAAAAUAAAUUUGGAUCUACAUACGUAAAUAUGGUGAAAGAAGAAUAUGAAUAUCGUGGGUAAAAUAGCGGUUAGCCUAAAGUGUUGUAGUUUAUUUUUCAAUAUAAAUGUGCCUGGAAGUUAAUUGUAAUGCAAAACGAAUGCUAAUAAAGCUGCAUAAUUGUGAGGAGCGCACUUACCAACAUAGGGUAAAAAAUCUUGUGAAAUGUGUUAUGUUAUCGAAGGAAAAGUAAACAAGUGGUUGAAAAGUUUAGAAAGUGAACAAAACAUUAAAAAUAAUUGCAAUAAGUAUGUGAGAUAGAAGAACGUAGUAAUAUGAGUUGAAAACGUUAGGUGUUCAUCCAGGAAAUGAGUUGAAAUGAGUCUGGUUAUGUUUCGACGUGGAAUAAAAAUUAAGGUAUAGAAGAAGAGAAGUGAGUGAGCGUAUAUUGAACAUACACCAACGUAAUAUUACCGUGUAAUUAAAUAAUUACGUUACGUUCGGAUUGUUAGCUUGAAAUAAUUCACUGCUAAGAGGGGCAAAAACUGCGAAGAAUAAAUAUUGGUUCGACAUAUCAAAAAUUCAAAUCUUUUAACCAGGAACUUGAAUUAUGCAAUAGGAGGUGAAUAAGUAAAAAAUGUAAUACUCUUGGUAUAGGUAAAUUGUAAAAACUUCCCGUUGCUUAUGAAUACAAAAAUAUUCCUUGAAGAGCUGCGCCGAUUUGUGUAUAAAUAAAGUAAAAGUAAGGAAAAGUAAUAAAUAAAAAUGUGAUGUGAAAUAUAACGCUAAUCUAAUAAUACGGACUUUAAAUACAUACAACCAAAAAUUCACCAAAUUAAUAAUGCAGUUGACCGAAAACACAAACAAUAAAAGCGACGUGAACUAAAUUACAGUGGAGGAUGGUGGACCAACGCGCAUAGAAAAUUACAAACAAUUACAAGAUAUACUAUUUUAUUGUUACUAUACGUAUAAUUACGAAUUUGACUUUUUACAAUAAUGAUUCGUGUAAGUUCCAACAAGUUUACAAAUCAAAUCAAAACGAGUGUCUAAAAUAUUGUAUAAACCUGUUAUAAUUUCAUAUGAAAAUUUCAGUUAAUCUGCGGAAUCAUUACUUCUUAUGAAAACGGUGUAUAACAAAAUAUUUAAUGUCUUCGAAACAGUUUCAGAGGAGGGUGGUGGGCCAACACGCGAAAAAAUCAAAGUGAUUGAAAUCAGUCAUUUUUUAUUCUAUAUUUUAUUUAAAUAAAUUAAGUGGUAGAAGGUCAAUUGUUCCUCACAAAAAUGUUGAUAUUUCAGGUUGGUUUCGUUCGAUUAAAUUUGGUUUCGUUGAAAACCGUUUGAUUUCUUUGCAUUGCGAAUUAAUUUAGUAGUCAUUUUGGCGUUGUCGGUGGUUGCAAGAGAAAUAUUAUCAUUAGACUAUCAAAAAGAGGAGAAAAAAUUAUUUUUGUAUUUUUUUCAAUUUAAUAGAUCGCCAAUUGAUCGUAAAGCAUAUAAGGAAAUGAAUGGUUUCUUGCUUUCAGACUGUUCAUUCGGAUUUUGAAACCAAUUUAAUAUGGUUAAUUAACAAAAUUUUUAUAAGGCAUUUCGAAAAAGCCCGCAGUUUUUAACUGUACCUACCUGCUUGCUAAUUGCAUAAUGUGGUAAAUAUUUGGAAUUUGCAUUGAUUUAGCUGUUUAUAAUCAGUUUACAUGCUCUUUCUAGCUGUUUAGGUAAAACUAGGUGUGCCAUUUAAUUUAAAACUUGCAGUAAAUUAACUGAGUUUUUUAGAUGAAAGUUAGAUCUAUAGCAUCUUAUCCAUUACGCUGAAGAACAACGAUAUUUCUUAUUCCGUACUAGUUUCCUUAUCCAUGUAGAUAGGAAAUAUUAACCCAUCGUACACUACGUCAAAUUACUCGGCAUUCAUAAAAAAAGUGAAAAAUCAAGGAGAAUAAUUCAAAAGCAAAAGCAGUAAUUGGAAAAUAUUUUUCAAUUUAUUACUUGCAUAUCUCUCAUUCGCAGAUUUUAUGGUCCUUUACUGCAUUUUACGCAUUUUCUUUCCUUAUAUGUUUUGCUGUCAAAUUGUGGGAUUAGUAGUUACUGAUAAUAAACCUAUAACAUUUUCUAUGUUCUCACCGGGCACUCGUUAAAUAUCCGAAUAUGAAUUGCAAAAUAACAUCAAUUAUAUAAAAGAGUGAAACAAACAUAAUGGACUCAAGUCUCCGCGAAUUGAGGUAUAAUUAAAGUGAUAUGAACGACUAAAGGACAAACAGUAUUCAUUGUAAAGUUAGUCUAUUAGUUAAAUGGUCUUCAAAUAAAUUAUAAUUAUUUGAUACAAGUAUGAACGUUUUGGUUAUAUAACUUAAUUUGAUUAAUCGUCGUCGACUUUUAUAUGACUGAGAAAAUCCAAUAGAUGUUUUGUAGGUUCUGUAGGUUGGGAUGAAUUUUCUGGAUUUACAAGUAAUCAAUGCCUUGGGCGAACAGCACUUGAUAGCGAAUGCGAGACAUUUAUGAUAUGCUUUUUCAUAUUUUGACCAGAAGAAUGCUAAUAUAAUGUUCAAAUAAGAUUCAUCAAGAAUUUACCGACAGAAUUUGAUUGGAAAGUUUUCUAGACUGCAGAUAGAAAACUGCGACUGAACAACAUUUUGUGUUUUGUAUCACCAGAGAAGAUUUUGACUUAACAGUGGAGCGUCCGAAUUUCCACUUCAUAACUAAUAUUAAGUAGUUCCAACUACUUUAACAAUCCCUGUAUCUUGACAAGUAUUCAAUAUUUCAUUAUAACAUCUAAUAUAACAAGACUUCGAAGAAGCGCGAGCUAAGGAAUGCGUUUCCUUUCAAAAUAAUGCUCCAUUUUCUCAAUAUCCACAAACUACAACCAGUAUCUUUAAGGUAUAAAUAAGUUUAGUAUUCUUAGAAAUAUCCGAAAUUUACGCUCCGAAAAAUAUCGCUACUAAUUUUAUAGUUAAUAGUGGAGUUUUUAUGAACGGUUAUAUGAUUAAUUGAACUAUGAAUAAUAGAGUAAAAUUUGUACAAAAUUCGGCUCACACCGUAAGUACGGUUCGGCAUGGAUGUUGCGAUUUUAUCACAUAAUGACGCAUAUGAUAAGAAAUGGAAUUUUUAGUUUUAUACUGUAAAACAGAGCAAUAAUUAUAUUUUAUACAAGGUAGGCACAAAGUUAUUGUGCAUAUUUCAAAAGGUUUUCUAAAAAUUGAAAAAUGGUCGGUAGUCUUAAAAAUGAAAUAAAUACAAAUUGAAGCGGUGUAUUUCGGUAAAUAGGAGGACUAAAAUAUUGCAAACCCUGAGCGUUUAAAAACCAACCUCCCCC